ACAUACUCAUCCGGGGAGAAAGGAGGAGAAUUCCACUGCUUCUGCAAGGGCCAACGAAGGUAGCCUGCAAGAUCACUGGGGAAGCUGGAAUUGCACGUGCCAGAUCUUAGCACGGGGGUCACGAAGAUGGUGAGGUGGACCUGCACGGUGUACAGACCCUGGCCACUCUCGGAGGACCCUUGCAAGGCUGCUGAGCAGGUGUUCGGGAUCAAAGCCAGGACCUCAUGAAUGCUAAACAAAUGCUCUACCCCUGAGUGCAUUGCCAGCCCCACCUGGUUUAAAAAAAUAAUGAAGACAUUGCAACAAAAGUUAUAGACCAACAUUCCUC